GUCUAUGGCCAUACCACCCCGAACACGCCCGAUCUCGUCUGAUCUAGGAAGCUAAGCAGGGUCGGGCCUGGUUAGUACUUGGAUGGGAGAAAGAAAGUAGAAAUUCCAGGGAGAGGACAGUCUGUGCAAAGACA
ensembl:rRNA 5S_rRNA 5S ribosomal RNA